rnacentral:rRNA from 1 species
AUUGAACGCUGGCGGCAUGCCUUACACAUGCAAGUCGAACGGCAGCACGGGUGCUUGCACCUGGUGGCGAGUGGCGAACGGGUGAGUAAUACAUCGGAACAUGUCCUGUAGUGGGGGAUAGCCCGGCGAAAGCCGGAUUAAUACCGCAUACGAUCUACGGAUGAAAGCGGGGGACCUUCAGGCCUCGCGCUAUAGGGUUGGCCGAUGGCUGAUUAGCUAGUUGGUGGGGUAAAGGCCUACCAAGGCGACGAUCAGUAGCUGGUCUGAGAGGACGACCAGCCACACUGGGACUGAGACACGGCCCAGACUCCUACGGGAGGCAGCAGUGGGGAAUUUUGGACAAUGGGCGAAAGCCUGAUCCAGCAAUGCCGCGUGUGUGAAGAAGGCCUUCGGGUUGUAAAGCACUUUUGUCCGGAAAGAAAUCCUUGGCUCUAAUACAGUCGGGGGAUGACGGUACCGGAAGAAUAAGCACCGGCUAACUACGUG